rnacentral:rRNA from 1 species
CCUACGGGUGGCAGCAGUGAGGAAUAUUGGUCAAUGGCCGUAAGGCUGAACCAGCCAAGUAGCGUGAGGGAAGACUGCCCUAUGGGUGGUAAACCUCUUUUAUGCGGGGGUAAAGGUGUCCACGUGUGGAUGUUUGCAGGUACCGCAUGAAUAAGGACCGGCUAAUUCCGUGCCAGCAGCCGCGGUAAUACGGAAGGUCCGGGCGUUAUCCGGAUUUAUUGGGUUUAAAGGGAGCGUAGGCCGGUCUUUAAGCGUGCCGUGAAAUUUUGUGGCUCAACCAUGGGAGUGCGGCGCGAACUGGAGACCGUGAGUGCGCGGAAGGCAGGCGGAAUUCGUGGUGUAGCGGUGAAAUGCUUAGAUAUCACGAAGAACCCCGAUUGCGAAGGCAGCCUGCCGCAGCGUUACUGACGCUGAAGCUCGAAAGCGCGGGUAUCGAACAGGAUUAGAUACCCGAGUAGUC